rnacentral:rRNA from 1 species
CAGAGGGUGCGAGCGUUGUUCGGAAUUACUGGGCGUAAAGCGCGCGCAGGCGGCUCUUUAAGUCUGCCGGUCAAAUGCCGGGGCUCAACCCCGCGCUCGCCGGAGAUACUGGGGGGCUGGAGACAGGUAGAGGCGAGUGGAAUUCCGGGUGUAGCGGUGGAAUGCGUAGAGAUCCGGAAGAACACCGGAGGCGAAGGCGGCUCGCUGGGCCUGGUCUGACGCUGAGGCGCGAAAGCGUGGGGAGCGAACAGGAUUAGAUACCCUGGUAGUCCACGCCGUAAACGAUGGGCACUGGGCGCGGGUGGGAUCGACCCCUUCCGUGCCGUAGCAAACGCGUUAAGUGCCCCGCCUGGGGAGUACGGCCGCAAGGCUG